GAUGAAGACGUAGCGAAAUGCGAUACGUAAUGUGAAUUGCAAAUUCAGUGAAUCAUCGAGUCUUUGAACGCACAUUGCGCCCCCUGGUAUUCCGGGGGGCAUGCCUGUCCGAGCGUCAUUGCUGCCCUCAAGCACGGCUUGUGUGUUGGGCCCCGUCCUCCGAUCCCGGGGGACGGGCCCGAAAGGCAGCGGCGGCACCGCGUCCGGUCCUCGAGCAUAUGGGGCUUUGUCACCCGCUCUGUAGGCCCGGCCGGCGCUUGCCGAUCAACCCAAAUUUUUUAUCCAGGUUGACCUCGGAUCAGGUAGGGAUACCCGCUGAACUUAAGCAUAUCAAUAAGCGGAGGA
rnacentral:misc_RNA from 1 species